rnacentral:lncRNA from 1 species
CUUCUUUAUCACCUUUACCUUUGGUGAAUCAUGCAUACUUUUUGCUGAUCAAAGAUGAAAAACUGAGAUAGUUGCAGAUGUCUCAUCAUCUAGGAGAGAGUGCUUUCCAAGAAAGUAAGCCCAACUAUGGAAAGUACUUAUAUGGAGGCAAAAUUCUUGACAUACAUCUUAUGAGGGACAAAAGUCUUCACCGAAAAAGGGGG